AUUGAACGCUGGCGGCAUGCCUUACACAUGCAAGUCGAACGGUAACAGGUCUUCGGAUGCUGACGAGUGGCGAACGGGUGAGUAAUACAUCGGAACGUGCCCAGACGUGGGGGAUAACGAGGCUAAAGCUUUGCUAAUACCGCAUACGAUCUAAGGAUGAAAGCAGGGGACCGCAAGGCCUUGCGCGUUUGGAGCGGCCGAUGGCAGAUUAGGUAGUUGGUGGGAUAAAAGCUUACCAAGCCGACGAUCUGUAGCUGGUCUGAGAGGACGACCAGCCACACUGGGACUGAGACACGGACCAGACUCCUACGGGAGGCAGCAGUGGGGAAUUUUGGACAAUGGGCGAAAGCCUGAUCCAGCAAUGCCGCGUGCAGGAUGAAGGCCUUCGGGUUGUAAACUGCUUUUGUACGGAACGAAAAGGCUCUGGCUAAUACCUGGGGCACAUGACGGUACCGGAAGAAUAAGCACCGGCUAACUACGUG
rnacentral:rRNA from 1 species